rnacentral:rRNA from 1 species
AUUGAACGCUGGCGGCAGGCUUAACACAUGCAAGUCGAGCGGAACGAGGGUGCUUGCACCUUAGCUUAGCGGCGGACGGGUGAGUAAUGCUUAGGAAUCUGCCUAUUAGUGGGGGACAACAUUCCGAAAGGAAUGCUAAUACCGCAUACGCCCUACGGGGGAAAGCAGGGGAUCUUCGGACCUUGCGCUAAUAGAUGAGCCUAAGUCGGAUUAGCUAGUUGGUGGGGUAAAGGCCUACCAAGGCGACGAUCUGUAGCGGGUCUGAGAGGAUGAUCCGCCACACUGGGACUGAGACUCGGCCCAGACUCUUACGGGAGGCAGCAGUGGGGAAUAUUGGACAAUGGGCGGAAGCCUGAUCCAGCCAUGCCGCGUGUGUGAAGAAGGCCUUUUGGUUGUAAAGCACUUUAAGCGAGGAGGAGGCUACUUAGAUUAAUACUCUGGGAUAGUGGACGUUACUCGCAGAAUAAGCACCGGCUAACUCUGUGCCAGCCGCCGCGGUAA